AUGCUGAUCUGUUCUGUACGACAUCUAUUGCACGUCUGUCCGUCCUGGAAGAGGGAUCCCUCCUCAGUUGCUCUUCCUGAGGUUUCUACCGUUUUUUUUCCCCGUUAAAGGGGUUUUUUUUGGGGAGUUUUUCCUUAUCCGCUGCGAGGGUCAUAAGGACAGAGGGAUGUCGUAUGCUGUAAAGCCCUGUGAGGCAAAUUGUGAUUUGUGAUAUUGGGCUUUAUAAAUAAAAUUGAUUGAUUGAUUGACCAAGUAGUGUAAAUCAGUAGCGAACAUGGGUAUCAGACAAGACAGGCCAUUUAGGAUAUCUACUACCACCUAGAGCAAAAAUAAAUCUCCUCAAAUCUUCUGUAAUUGACACAGCCAUUAUUAAAAUACAUAUCAGAGCUGCUUUUAAGAAAACAUUUAAAGAGUACUUAAUACAAUUACCUGUAUGAACAAACAGUCAAUGAAAUGAAAUGAUGUAUAAAAUCUUGCUUUUGUUUCAAGUGUAUAAAAUUUGAUAUGUGAUUCUUUUUUUCCCUUUUUUGAUAUGUAAUGUGAUGUUUGAAUGUAUAUAAUAAGCAAAAUUGUUUGUUAAAUUGUAUGAUUUAUGUGUUGGAUCCCAGACUAUCUGAUGCUAGGGCAUUAGCUAAUGGGUAUCCUAAUAAGCUAAGGGAGUGUACUUUACUCAUCAAAGGAGGGGGGUGGCUGGGAUGCGACUUUGUGGGGGGGUUUACUUGUUGUUGUUGUUGUUGUUGUCGUCAUUGCUAUUUUUUUUAUUUUUAUUUUUUAUUUUAUUUGACCCUCCCUUAAGCUACAAAUGUUUUUCCUUUAGCCUCCCACAAUGAGUGGCAGAAAAUGCAGGACCCUCCCUCCACCAUAAAAUUGUUUUAAAACUUACCCUUUGACGUUGAAAAGUCAAAAGUAAGUUGAAGACAAAAUCCUGGAGUUAAAAAAAGCCUCAGUUUUUAACUCUUGUUGUGCAUGUUGGUUAGUACGUGCAAACAGUUAAUGUUUUUGAGAUCUUAAAUAAA